rnacentral:rRNA from 1 species
GACGGAGGAUGCAAGCGUUAUCCGGAAUUAUUGGGCGUAAAGCGUCCGUAGGAGGCCUAUCAAGUCUGCUGUUAAAUCCCAGGGCUCAACUCUGGAUCAGCAGUGGAAACUGCUAAGCUAGAGUGCGGUAGGGGCAGAGGGAAUUCCCGGUGUAGAGGUGAAAGGCGUAGAUAUCGGGAAGAACACCAGUGGCGAAGGCGCUCUGCUGGGACGUAACUGACACUCAUGCAAGAAAGCUAGAGGAGCGAAAGGG